GAUGAAGAACGUAGCGAAAUGCGAUAAGUAAUGUGAAUUGCAGAAUUCAGUGAAUCAUCGAAUCUUUGAACGCAUCUUGCACUCCUUGGUAUUCCGAGGAGCAUGCCUGUUUGAGUGUCAUUUAACUUCUCAACCACAUUGGAUAUUUUUUUUCCGAUGCCGGCUUGGAUGUGGGGGUUGUUUGCAGGCUUUUUGUAACAAAAAAGGUCGGCUCCCCUGAAAUGUAUUAGUGGUAUCUGAGGCUAUUACUAUUAGGUGUGAUAAUUAUCUAUGCCUUUUGGGUAUGCCGCAUGAACAGAUUAUGCUGCUUCUAACGAAAACUAUUUUGAUGAAUUUGACCUCAAAUCAGGUAGGACUACCCGCUGAACUUAAGCAUAUCAAUAAGCGGAGGA
rnacentral:misc_RNA from 1 species